GGUGUGGAUGAGCAUGGCCACAGCCAUGAGGAUCAUGUUCAUGGACAUAGCCAUGGGAUAAGCAUAGCUACAAAUCAACACCAUCAUCAUCAUCAUUUGGGAAGCUCACAGGACAAUGAUCAGCAUUAUCAUACACAAGAAUCAGAUCAAUCUGAGCCUCUGCUUAGGACUUACUCAGGAGGUGAAGCUAAAAUGAAAGAUGGACCUAAACAGAAUAAACAACGGAACAUCAAUGUGCAAGGAGCUUAUCUUCAUGUGUUGGGGGAUUCCAUACAGAGUGUUGGGGUGAUGAUUGGCGAGUAAUUUGGUAUAAACCAAAAUGGAAGAUUAUUGAUCUGAUAUGUACACUUGUAUUCUCAGUAAUUGUAUUAGGCACAACAAUCAGGAUGUUGCGGAAUAUUUUAG
rnacentral:misc_RNA from 1 species